ACAUAAAAAAGAAUAAAUUGUAAGUGACUGUACAGUUUGUUGAAGAAUUGACUAGAUAUGGGGGUCUCUUUCGAAGUUGGAGUUCGGGGUAUUUUUUUUAGGUCCUCACUAUAACAUCAUUUGACAAGUAAUAAACGAAUUCGAUUAAAGAAAUCAGUUAUAUUUUUUGUUCUUAAUUUAUUUCCUACUCUCUUGGGCUACAAGUGCUCCUGGAUCUUUGGCCUAUGGGACUCUUCUUAUAAGAUGAUUUUAUACUUGAUUCAUUCCUUCCUUAGGUUUUUCCCUUCCUAAAUUGCUUGAACUUUCUUACUCAGUUACUUAUAUUCUGAUCAUUAGAGUAAGAGUAUUCACACUCAAAUGAACGAAAUAUUGCUAUAGAAGGGAAUAGUAGGAGGUACAUUAUUUUUAAAUUGUUUUUUGAAUUAUCGGUUCAGCAGGCUUGACUCUUGACUUACUUCAAAAAAGGUUCUGAUGUGAUGAUUCCAUAUGCCUAAACCCGACAGGAUGCAUUUCGAAGGAACGAUCUCAGUAGGAAGCAUUUAUUCAUAUAAAGCUAAAUAACUCUCAAGUAAAAAUAUGAUGGAUAAUAACGAACAACAGAUAAUAAUUAACUUCCAACACCAAUUUUCAUUUUGGUAGCCUGCCUUUAUGGAGACAGUGGACUAUAUGGAGACAAUCAUUCAAAUCAUUUUAUACUGAUCCUAAAAAUAUUGAUAAAAUCGGUAGUUCGGACCUAAACUUUUAAAAAAAAAAGAAGGAAGAAUUGGGCUAAUCUAGCUGCAGGAAGAAAGAAAGAGAAAAGAAGCAAAACAGCAAUGCAAUAAUUUGAAAUGGUAUUGUAAUUGGUCAAUUCAAAUAAAAGAUUCUGACAGAUUCGUUUUUGUAAAUCGGAGCAGUCGUCAUGUGGUAGGUGGAUUACAGAUAGAAGAGAAGCUCUGUUGCUUCAUAAGUCCCUAGAUCGAGAUCAACUCGUCAAGAGUUCCCUAGAUGUAUGGAUGAAUGAUAAUGUUGACUGCCUACCUAUGCGAGUAGCAUGCAUUGUCAACAGAUGAGUUGUGAAUAUCUUAGAUUCGUCUCAAUCCGAAGAUGCCUUGCUAUGGAUUGCUCUCAACCAGAGUUUCUUUUAAUGAGCACCAACCAAAGCGGAUUUAAUAGGAUGUAAAUCAUUUUGUUCAUACCUUUUAUAGGCUUUCAUGUCAAACUGCAUAGUGAGCAUAACAAUCAUAGCAAUAAGAACUGUAGAACUGUAUCCUAAGGACCUUCACACUGCCUCAGAUAUCCACAAGGUUUCCCCAAAUUUUCUCCGUCAUGGUGACUUCUGACUAUGAUAUUUCUAAUUAAUUGAUUGUUUUUUUUUUUGUUAAAGUUGAUUUACCUGACCCGGAUUUUUAAAUGGUAUCUUUUUAUUAUUACGAAUUAUGCAUGUAUAUUAAAUCAAAUAGUAUCACAAUACAAAUUCUAAAGUAAAUAAAUGAAUAUAUAUAUAU
rnacentral:lncRNA from 1 species